rnacentral:rRNA from 1 species
UACAGAGGGGGCAAGCGUUGUUCGGAAUUACUGGGCGUAAAGGGCGCGUAGGCGGCCUUCUAAGUCGAACGUGAAAUCCCUGGGCUCAACCCAGGAACUGCGUCCGAUACUGGAAGGCUUGAAUCCGGGAGAGGGAUGCGGAAUUCCAGGUGUAGCGGUGAAAUGCGCAGAUAUCUGGAGGAACACCGGUGGCGAAGGCGGCAUCCUGGACCGGUAUUGACGCUGAGGCGCGAAAGCCAGGGGGAGCAAACGGG